CUACGUAGGUGGCAAGCGUUGUCCGGAUUUAUUGGGUUUAAAGGGUGCGUAGGCUGGCCCUGUAAGUCAGGUCGGUGAAAUACUCUAGCUUAACUAGAGGGGUGCCAAUGAAUACUGGCAGGGGCCUUGAGUACAGAUGAGGUAGGCGGAAUUGACGGUGUAGCGGUGAAAUGCAUAGAUAUCGUCAAGAACACCGAUAGCGAAGGCAGCUUACUGGGCUGUAACUGACGCUGAUGCAC
rnacentral:rRNA from 1 species